AGAGUUUGAUCAUGGCUCAGAACGAACGCUGGCGGCAGGCUUAACACAUGCAAGUCGAACGCAUCCUUCGGGGUGAGUGGCAGACGGGUGAGUAACGCGUGGGAACGUGCCCUUCAGUUCGGAAUAACCCAGGGAAACUUGGGCUAAUACCGGAUACGUGCGAGGGCAGAAAGAUUUAUCGCUGAAGGAUCGGCCCGCGUCUGAUUAGCUAGUUGGUGAGGUAAUGGCUCACCAAGGCGACGAUCAGUAGCUGGUCUGAGAGGAUGAUCAGCCACAUUGGGACUGAGACACGGCCCAAACUCCUACGGGAGGCAGCAGUGGGGAAUAUUGGACAAUGGGCGCAAGCCUGAUCCAGCCAUGCCGCGUGAGUGAUGAAGGCCUUAGGGUUGUAAAGCUCUUUCGUCCGGGACGAUAAUGACGGUACCGGAAGAAGAAGCCCCGGCUAACUUCGUGCCAGCAGCCGCGGUAAUACGAAGGGGGCUAGCGUUGUUCGGAAUCACUGGGCGUAAAGGGCGCGUAGGCGGCUUGAUAAGUCGGGGGUGAAAGCCUGUGGCUCAACCACAGAAUUGCCUUCGAUACUGUCUGGCUUGAGACCGGAAGAGGUAAGUGGAACUGCGAGUGUAGAGGUGAAAUUCGUAGAUAUUCGCAAGAACACCAGUGGCGAAGGCGGCUUACUGGUCCGGUUCUGACGCUGAGGCGCGAAAGCGUGGGGAGCAAACAGGAUUAGAUACCCUAGUAGUCC
rnacentral:rRNA from 1 species